CCCGACUGCUAUUUGGGUGAGAAUAAGCCAUGCGAGUCGAAUGGGAUGCCUAAAAUUCCCAUGGCAAACUGCUCAGUAACACAUGAUCAACUUACCCUAUAGAGAAAAAUAACCUCGGGAAACUGAGGAUAAUGUUUCAUAAUUGAAUCGGCUUGGAAAAGUUUUUCAAUUAAAAGAAUAAGAAAAAUGGUUCUUGUUCGCUAUAGGAUAGGAUCGUGGACGAUUAUGGUUGUUGGUGAGGUAACGGCUCACCAAGCCGAUAAUCGAUAGGGGCCGUGAGAGCGGGAGCCCCGAGAUGGGUACUGAGACAACGACCCAGGCCUUACGAGGCGCAGCAGGCGCGGAACCUCCGCAAUACACGAAAGUGUGACGGGGUUACCCAAAGUGUUCAUUAUUGAACUGUGGUAGGUGAGUAAUGUUCCCUACUAGAAAGGAGAGGGCAAGGCUGGUGCCAGCCGCCGCGGUAAAACCAGCUCUUCAAGUGGUCGGGAUAAUUAUUGGGCUUAAAGUGUCCGUAGCCGGUUUAGUAAGUUCCUGGUAAAAUCGGGUAGCUUAACUAUCUGUAUGCUAGGAAUACUGCUAUACUAGAGGGCGGGAGAGGUUUGAGGUACUACAGGGGUAGGGGUGAAAUCUUAUAAUCCUUGUAGGACCACCAGUGGCGAAGGCGUCCGACUUGAACGGGUCCGACGGUGAGGGACGAAGCCCUGGGGCACAAACCGGAUUAGAUACCCGGGUAGUCCAGGGUGUAAACGCUGCGGGCUUGGUGUUGGGGGUCCUACGUGGGCGUCCAGUGCCGGAGAGAAGUUGUUAAGCCCGCCGCCUGGGGAGUACGGUCGCAAGGCUAAAACUUAAAGGAAUUGGCGGGGGAGCACCACAAGGGGUGAAGCCUGCGGUUCAAUUGGAGUCAACGCCGGAAAGCCG
rnacentral:rRNA from 1 species